rnacentral:tRNA from 1 species
UUAGCUCAGUAGGUAGAGCAACUGACUUGUAAUCAGUAGGUCACCAGUUCGAUUCCGGUA